rnacentral:rRNA from 1 species
GACGAACGCUGGCGGCGUGCUUAACACAUGCAAGUCGAACGGAAAGGCCCUGCUUUUGUGGGGUGCUCGAGUGGCGAACGGGUGAGUAACACGUGAGUAACCUGCCCUUGACUUUGGGAUAACUCAGGAAACUGGGGCUAAUACCGGAUAAGAGGUCCUUCUGCAUGGGGGGGGGUGGGAAGUUUCGGCGGUUGGGGGUGGACUCGCGGCUUAUCAGGUUGUUGGUGGGGUAGUGGCUUACCAAGGCUUUGACGGGUAGCCGGCCUGAGAGGGUGACCGGCCACAUUGGGACUGAGAUACGGCCCAGACUCCUACGGGAGGCAGCAGUGGGGAAUAUUGCACAAUGGGCGGAAGCCUGAUGCAGCAACGCCGCGUGCGGGAUGACGGCCUUCGGGUUGUAAACCGCUUUCGCCUGUGACGAAGCGUGAGUGACGGUAAUGGGUAAAGAAGCACCGGCUAACUACGUG